AACGUACGCUGGCGGCACGCCUAACACAUGCAAGUCGAACGGAGUAGCAAUACUUAGUGGCAGACGGGUGAGUAACAUGUGGGUAUCUGCCCUUUGGCCUGGAAUAACACGAGGAAACUUGUGCUAAUACCGGAUAAGUCUUUACGGAGAAAGCUUUAUGCACCAUUGGAUGAGCCUGCACUUGAUUAGUUUGUUGGUGGGGUAAUGGCCUACCAAGACUGUGAUCAAUAGCUGAUUUGAGAGGAUGAUCAGCCACAUUGGGACUGAGACACGGCCCAAACUCCUACGGGAGGCAGCAGUGGGGAAUCUUGCACAAUGGAGGAAACUCUGAUGCAGCGAUGCCGCGUGAGUGAAGAAGGCCCUUGGGUUGUAAAGCUCUUUCGUCGGGGAAGAAAAUGACUGUACCCGAAUAAGAAGGUCCGGCUAACUUCGUG
rnacentral:rRNA from 1 species